UGAUGAUUCGACUCAGAUACAAACAGAUCCAAUAUUGGGUGACCAAAUCUGUUGGAAAUUUCUUGAAAAAGAAGCGGAUGCAAACUCCACUCUGCCUGAUCUAUUGUAGAUCUGCUUAGCCAAUCUGCCCUGACAUUUUGUGUCCCUGAAAUAUGUUCAGCUUUGAUUGAGAACAAAUUU